rnacentral:rRNA from 1 species
UAACAAGGUCUCCGUUGGUGAACCAGCGGAGGGAUCAUUACUGAGUUUACGCUCUAUAACCCUUUGUGAACAUACCUAUAACUGUUGCUUCGGCGGGUAGGGUCUCCGUGACCCUCCCGGCCUCCCGCCCCCGGGCGGGUCGGCGCCCGCCGGAGGAUAACCAAACUCUGAUUUAACGACGUUUCUUCUGAGUGGUACAAGCAAAUAAUCAAAACUUUUAACAACGGAUCUCUUGGUUCUGGCAUCGAUGAAGAACGCAGCGAAAUGCGAUAAGUAAUGUGAAUUGCAGAAUUCAGUGAAUCAUCGAAUCUUUGAACGCACAUUGCGCCCGCCAGCAUUCUGGCGGGCAUGCCUGUUCGAGCGUCAUUUCAACCCUCAAGCUCUGCUUGGUGUUGGGGCCCUACAGCUGAUGUAGGCCCUCAAAGGUAGUGGCGGACCCUCCCGGAGCCUCCUUUGCGUAGUAACUUUACGUCUCGCACUGGGAUCCGGAGGGACUCUUGCCGUAAAACCCCCAAUUUUCCAAAGGUUGACCUCGGAUCAGGUAGGAAUACCCGCUGAACUUAAGCAUAUC